rnacentral:rRNA from 1 species
CAGCAGCCGCGGUAAUACGAAGGGGGCUAGCGUUGCUCGGAAUGACUGGGCGUAAAGGGCGCGUAGGCGGAUUGGUCAGUCGGGCGUGAAAUUCCUGGGCUUAACCUGGGGGCUGCGUUCGAGACGGCUGGUCUAGAGUUUGGAAGAGGGUCGUGGAAUUCCCAGUGUAGAGGUGAAAUUCGUAGAUAUUGGGAAGAACACCGGUGGCGAAGGCGGCGACCUGGUCCUUGACUGACGCUGAGGCGCGAAAGCGUGGGGAGCAAACAGGAUUAGAUACCCUGGUAGUCCACGCUGUAAACGAUGUGCGCUGGAUGUUGGGCGGCCUAGCCGUUCAGUGUCGUAGCUAACGCGGUAAGCGCACCGCCUGGGGAGUACGGCCGCAAGGUUGAACCUCAAAGGAAUUGACGG